rnacentral:tRNA from 2 species
CAGGAGAUAGCAUAUAAAGUGUGCUUUGCUUACACCAAAGAGGAGAUGAGUAUCUUUCCUGU